AGAGUUUGAUCCUGGCUCAGGAUGAACGCUGGCGGCGUGUCUUAGGCAUGCAAGUCGAAUGCUCCUUCGGGAAGAGUGGCAAACGGGAGAGUAACACAUUGGUAACCUACCCCAUACUCAGGGAUAACCCCGCGAAAGCGGAGCUAAUACCUGAUGGACUCCAUUCACACAAGUGUUUUGGAGUAAAGCUCCGGCGGUAUGGGAGGGGCCUAUGUCUCAUCAGCUUGUUGGUGUGGUAACGGCGCACCAAGGCAAUGACGAGUAGCGGGCGUGAGAGCGUGGCCCGUCUCACGGGGACUGAGAUACUGCCCUGACUCCUACGGGAGGCUGCAGUCAAGAAUCUUCCACAAUGGCCGAAAGGCUGAUGGAGCGACGCCGCGUGCAGGAAGACGCCCUUCGGGGUGUAAACUGCUUUUCUCUGGGACGAACAAAUGACGGUACCAGAGGAAUAAGGGGCUGCUAACCUCGUGCCAGCAGCAGCGGUAAUACGAGGGCCCCAAGCGUUAUCCGGAUUUACUGGGCGUAAAGCGUACGUAGGUGGUUUAUCACAUCUCCUGUUAAAUCCCGAGGCUCAACCUCGGAACCGCGGGAGAGAUGGCUAAACUAGAGAUCGGAAGAGGCAAGCGGAAUUGCUGGUGUAGGGGUUAAAUCCGUUAAUAUCAGCAGGAACACCAAAAUGCGAAGGCAGCUUGCUAGAACGUUUCUGACACUAAGGUACGAAAGCGUGGGUAGCGAAUGGGAUUAGAUACCCCAGUAGUCCACGCCGUAAACGAUGGAUGCUAAACAUUGGCAGUAUCGACCCUGCCAGUGUUGUCUACCUAAGCUAACGCAUUAAGCAUCCCGCCUGGGGAGUACGGCCGCAAGGCUAAAACUCAAAGGAAUAGACGGGGACCCGCACAAGCGGUGGAGCAUGUGGUUUAAUUCGAUAAUAAGCGAGGAACCUCACCAGGGCUUGACAUCUAGCUGCAGACUCUGAGAAAUCAGAGAGCCUUCGAGGGUGCUAGACAGAUGCUGCAUGGUUGUCGUCA
rnacentral:rRNA from 1 species